rnacentral:rRNA from 1 species
GUCUGGGGAUCCCGUUUGAUGGAGGGGGAUAACUACUGUGAAACGGUAGCUAAUACCGCAUAACGUCGCAAGACCAAAGUGGGGGACCUUCCGGCCUCAUGCCAUCAGAUGAACCCAGAUGGGAUUAGCUAGUAGGUGAGGUAAUGGCUCACCUAGGCGACGAUCCCUAGCUGGUCUGAGAGGAUGACCAGCCACACUGGAACUGAGACACGGUCCAGACUCCUACGGGAGGCAGCAGUGGGGAAUAUUGCACAAUGGGUGCAAGCCUGAUGCACCCAUGCCGCGUGUAUGAAGAAGGUCUUCGGGUUGUAAAGUACUUUCAGUAGGGAGGAAGGUGUGAGCGCUAAUAGCGUUCACAAUUGACGUUACCUACAGAAGAAGCACCGGCUAACUCCGUGCCAGCAGCCGCGGUAUUACGGAGGGUGAAAGCGUUAAUCGGAAUUACUGGGCGUAAAGCGCACGCAGGGCGGUUUGUUAAGUUGGAUGUGAAAUCCCCGGGCUUAACCUGGGAACUGCAUCCAAGACUGGCAAGCUAGAGUCUCGUAGAGGGAGGUAGAAUUCCAGGUGUAGCGGUGAAAUGCGUAGAGAUCUGGAGGAAUACCCGGUGGCGAAGGCGGCCUCCUGGACGAAGACUGACGCUCAGGUGCGAAAGCGUGGGGAGCAAACAGGAUUAGAUACCCUGGUAGUCCACGCUGUAAACGAUGUCGAUUUGGAGGUUGUGCCCUUGAGGCGUGGCUUCCGAAGCUAACGCGUUAAAUCGACCGCCUGGGGAGUACGGCCGCAAGGUUAAAACUCAAAUGAAUUGACGGGGGCCCGCACAAGCGGUGGAGCAUGUGGUUUAAUUCGAUGCAACGCGAAGAACCUUACCUACUCUUGACAUCCAGCGAAUCCUGUAGAGAUACGGGAGUGCCUUCGGGAACGCUGAGACAGGUGCUGCAUGGCUGUCGUCAGCUCGUGUUGUGAAAUGUUGGGUUAAGUCCCGCAACGAGCGCAACCCUUAUCCUUUGUUGCCAGCGGUUAGGCCGGGAACUCAAAGGAGACUGCCAGUGAUAAACUGGAGGAAGGUGGGGAUGACGUCGAAGUCGUCAAUGGC